UUGUCGGUCGUGGAGUGUUGCCUUUCAUGUUGUUGUUUGUGCAAAUGCGGCAUAUGUCGUCUGGUGGACGCAACUUUUGGGGUAUGAAUCUGAUUCUCUGUGAACGAAAGAGUGAAAUAAACAUUGAACGCUCUCAACUCGAUUAGUGAAAAUGAUUCAGAAAUGAGUUAAGAUUAUGAUAAAUCGAUAAUUUGAUUCUAUCAUCUCAAUAAAUGCAAAAGAAGAGCCCUCCUCAAUUUCUCCGCCGCAGAGAUCGAUUCAUCUCUCUUGUAGAUCAUAUACCCAGGUACUCUCUACAAUCUACAGUUUCUUUUUGCAGCUUCCAGCCUUCCCUUGGGUAAAGAAGAAGAAAAAAACGAUUGGAUUCAAGAGGUAGUUGCUCAAUAGUUGAGGAAUUGAAGGAAUGUGAUCUCACUAUCUUGAAGUGGUUUCAUGGCCGCGAGAGCUUCAAAGAAGUGCAAGCAAAGGAUCCGGGAUGUUGUUUGAAGAGAAAGUUGCAAAAUUGGUGGGGAAGAAGAGGAAUCUCACUACUUUUCGAUGGGAAGUUCAUGUCAAAGAAAUUAAGGUUUUUCGAUGUACAUUUCAGUUAGAUGAUUUUUUUCAUUCGGCUUAUCAUGUAAGUCACAUACAUAUUCAUUUUAUUUUAUUUUUGAAAAUGUUAUCCUAUUAUAUAA